rnacentral:rRNA from 1 species
UACGGGGGGGGCAAGCGUUGUUCGGAAUUACUGGGCGUAAAGGGCUCGUAGGCGGCCAACUAAGUCGGAUGUGAAAUCCCCAGGCUCAACUUGGGAACUGCAUCCGAUACUGGAUGGCUUGAAUCCGGGAGAGGGAUGCAGAAUUCCAGGUGUAGCGGUGAAAUGCGUAGAUAUCUGGAGGAACACCGGUGGCGAAGGCGGCAUCCUGGACCGGUAUUGACACUGAGGCGCGAAAGCCAGGGGAGCAAACGGG